rnacentral:sRNA from 1 species
AGAUGCUGCCAGGGUCCCUGAAGAGGGAAGACACGCGGAAACAGAGCCCUAGAUGGUGCCCUGGAAAGCUUCAUCCUGUUCCACAAUCCUGAGUAUAACAAGAACACCUCGAAGUUUGACGGGACCAGACUCUAUGAAAGCACAAAGGAUGGGGAGGUUCCUUCUGAGCAGAAAAGGGUGCAAUUCCUGGGAGACAAGAGUAAGAACUGCACACUGAGUAUCCACCCGGUGCACGUCAAUGACAGUGGUCAGCUGGGGCUGAGAAUGGAGUCCAAGACUGAGAAAUGGAUGGAACGAAUACACCUCAAUGUCUCUGUGGUUCCUAGAGGGGGUUCCAGUGGGGCAGGCUGCUGUCAACUCGACCUCCUUGGCCACCAAGUCUGUCUUCACCCGGAGCGAGCUCAAGUUCUCCCCACAGUGGAGUCACCAUGGGAAGAUUGUGACCUGCCAGCUUCACGAUGCGGAUGGGAAGUUCCUCUCCAAUGACACGGUGCAGCUGAACGUGAAGCACACCCCGAAGUUGAAGAUCGAGGUCAAUCCCAGUGAUGCCAUAGUGAGGGAG